rnacentral:ncRNA from 1 species
AGUUGUCGAAGGAAAGACCUUAAUUCACAAUU